UUUUUUUUUAUUAUCCCCCAAUCUUCCCUCGUGCCCUCUUCUUACAAAGAUUUUUGGCUACCGUAAUUGGUGAAAGGUCGCACCUGGAAAUCGUCCAUCAUAGAGGCAUUUUCUUCACGCUGCGAUCGCGUUGUUGGCUGUUUGCUUUGCAGGCUGCAGUGAGCAGUUCCCAUAGUGCAAAAACGUCUGUAGGAAUCACGAGGCAGCGUCACGCUGGCAUGAGCAGCACCACCGCUGUGGCACAGACCAGAUGCGAGUGCCUGGCCUCGAGGCACGAGCAGACACAACAACAAGCCCCAACCGGCUCUGGAAGGCUGCUGCAACCAGGAGGCAUUACUCAACGUUGAGACAGAAAAGCUGCAACUUCCCUACGUAUUCACUUCCCAAAGCAGCAAGAAGCACGGCUGUUCCUAGCACAAAGGAGUGGAGGUGACAUCGAUCCAGGGCCUGAUUCUCAUCGCAAUGGGAAUCAGGUGGGAUUCAGCUGACCCUCACAGAAAUUAGUACCAUAAAACUGGUAUUAAUGGGCAGAGGACCUGCCAAUGGCCUGCUCUCUCACAGCCACGAGGCAUUAAAGAUGCUUUACAGGGGAGAGUCUUGUGAAAGUAAGGAUAGAAAACGUUACAUUUUUAUCUCAACUGACCAUGCUUGCAAGGGCAUCUGUGUGUAUAUAUGGGGAGGGGCUACAUGAAUGUCAGAACAGACUACAAAUAGGAGCUGUUCUUUCCAAAUUUCAUACGUUGCUUGAGUCAUAAAAAUUUAACUUCACUCAGCAAACUACCUUCCCCUCUUUGUUCAUAUUCACUCUAGUAUAUCCAUCAUUUUUGAUCCUCUACUGAUUUCUGUUGUUGGCGCUCGUUUUCUGUGACUUGAGAACCUGAAAUUAUGCUAUAUAUCUUUGUAGUUCAUUGAACUAACCAGCAUUUAUUUUAAUUUAGUAAGGAAAUAUUUGGCUGGGUGUGACCAAAUAAAUACUGUUUCUAAACCAACACAAGUAUACUGUUCACAAGGCUAUAAAGCUGUCUCAGAGCUCUAAUGACAUUGCAAGUAAAUGAAGCUUCAGUCUUCUCAUAAACAUAAUUCAAUGAGACCUCUAUGUUGCCUUUUUUUUUAAAUAGACUAUAAUAUUAUAGCACUAUUGGGCAACAAAAGUUGAAUCUUGGUAGUAAUCCAAGCUUCCAGGUUGAUAAUGGCUUUAACACUGACCUAAUAUAUAAAGGUGAACAUACACAGAGAAUGUCAGACCUCAUUAUAAAUAAGAUAAUAGUGAUAAAACACAUCACUAGUCUGUAUCAGACUAGUGAAGACAAAACUUUUCUUCGGGAGCAAAGGGCACAAAUCUUGCCACAAGAUUAUGAAGAGUUUUGUCACCGAUUUUGACAAAAAAAUAGUCAAGAACUUUGAUUUAAAGGAAGAAAUCUAACAGGCUUUUCCCUCUCAACA